rnacentral:rRNA from 1 species
AGCGAACGCUGGCGGCAGGCCUAACACAUGCGAGUCGAACGAACUCUUCGGAGUUAGUGGCGGACGGGUGAGUAACACGUGGGAACGUGCCUUUUGGUUCGGAAUAACUCAGGGAAACUUGUGCUAAUACCGAAUGCGCCCUUCGGGGGAAAGAUUUAUCGCCAUUAGAGCGGCCCGCGUCUGAUUAGCUAGUUGGUGAGGUAACGGCUCACCAAGGCGACGAUCAGUAGCUGGUCUGAGAGGAUGACCAGCCACACUGGGACUGAGACACGGCCCAGACUCCUACGGGAGGCAGCAGUGGGGAAUCUUGCGCAAUGGGCGAAAGCCUGACGCAGCCAUGCCGCGUGAAUGAUGAAGGUCUUAGGAUUGUAAAAUUCUUUCACCGGGGACGACAAUGACGGUACCCGGAGAAGAAGCCCCGGCUAACUUCGUG